rnacentral:rRNA from 1 species
UACAGAGGUCUCAAGCGUUGUUCGGAUUCAUUGGGCGUAAAGGGUGUGUAGGUGGCGCCGUAAGUCGGGUGUGAAAUUUCGGAGCUUAACUCCGAAACUGCAUUCGAUACUGCGGUGCUCGAGGGUUGGAGGGGGGGGGACUGGAAUACUUGGUGUAGCAGUGAAAUGCGUAGAUAUCAAGUGGAACACCAGUGGCGAAGGCGGUUCUCUGGGCCUGUACUGACGCUGAGGAGCGAAAGCGUGGGGAGCGAACAGG